rnacentral:rRNA from 1 species
UACGAACGGUCCAAACGUUAUUCGGAAUCACUGGGCUUAAAGCGUCCGUCGGCGGCUCGGAAAGUCGGGUGUGAAAUCCCACGGCUCAACCGUGGAAUUGCGCUCUAAACUAUCGAGCUAGAGGGAGAUAGAGGUGAGCGGAACUGAUGGUGGAGCGGUGAAAUGCGUUGAUAUCAUUAGGAACUCCGGUGGCGAAGGCGGCUCGCUGGAUCUUUUCUGACGCUGAGGCGCGAAAGCUAGGGGAGCAAACGGG